rnacentral:rRNA from 1 species
ACUCAAAGGAAUUGACGGGGACCCGCACAAGCAGAGGAUGAUGUGGUUUAAUAUGAAGCUACGCGUAGAACCUUACCGAGGCUUGACAUCCUAGGAAUCUGCCAGAAAUGGCGGAGUGCCUUCGGGAGCCUAGUGACAGGUGCUGCAUGGCCGUCGUCAGCUCGUGUCGUGAGAUGUUGGGUUAAGUCCCGCAACGAGCGCAACCCUUAUCGUAUGUUGUAUUUUUCAUGCGAGACUGCCCGGCUAACCGGGAGGAAGGUGGGGAUGACGUCAGGUCGGCAUGGCCCUUACGCCUCGGGCCACACACGUCAUACAAUGGCCAGUACAACGCGCCGCGAAACCGCGAGGUGGAGCAAAUCGCACCAAAACUGGUCUCAGUUCGGAUUGCAGGCUGCAACUCGCCUGCAUGAAGCCGGAUUUGCUAGUAAACGUGGGUCAGCAUACCACGUUGAAUACGUUCCCGGGUCUUGUACACACCGCCCGU